GACAGAGGGUGCAAACGUUGUUCGGAAUUACUGGGCGUAAAGCGCGUGUAGGCUGUCGUGCAAGUCGGGUGUGAAAUCCCAGGGCUCAACCGUGGAAGUGCACUCGAAACUGCAAGACUAGAAUCUCGGAGAGGAUGGCGGAAUUCUGGGUGUAGAGGUGAAAUUCGUAGAUAUCCAGAGGAACACCGGUGGCGAAGGCGGCCAUCUGGACGAGUAUUGACGCUGAGACGCGAAAGCGUGGGGAGCAAACAGG
rnacentral:rRNA from 1 species